rnacentral:rRNA from 1 species
UGAGGAAUAUUGGUCAAUGGACGAGAGUCUGAACCAGCCAAGUAGCGUGAAGGAUGACUGCCCUAUGGGUUGUAAACUUCUUUUAUACGGGAAUAAAGUGAGGCACGUGUGCCUUUUUGUAUGUACCGUAUGAAUAAGGAUCGGCUAACUCCGUGCCAGCAGCCGCGGUAAUACGGAGGAUCCGAGCGUUAUCCGGAUUUAUUGGGUUUAAAGGGAGCGUAGGCGGACGCUUAAGUCAGUUGUGAAAGUUUGCGGCUCAACCGUAAAAUUGCAGUUGAUACUGGGUGUCUUGAGUACAGUAGAGGCAGGCGGAAUUCGUGGUGUAGCGGUGAAAUGCUUAGAUAUUACGAAGAACUCCGAUUGCGAAGGCAGCUUGCUGGACUGUAACUGACGCUGAUGCUCGAAAGUGUGGGUAUCAAACAGGAUUAGAUACCCUGGUAGUCCACACAGUAAACGAUGAAUACUCGCUGUUUGCGAUAUACAGUAAGCGGCCAAGCGAAAGCGUUAAGUAUUCCACCUGGGGAGUACGCCGGCAACGGUGAAACUCAAAGGAAUUGACGGGGGCCCGCACAAGCGGAGGAACAUGUGGUUUAAUUCGAUGAUACGCGAGGAACCUUACCCGGGCUUGAAUUGCAACUGAAUGAUGUGGAGACAUGUCAGCCGCAAGGCAGUUGUGAAGGUGCUGCAUGGUUGUCGUCAGCUCGUGCCGUGAGGUGUCGGCUUAAGUGCCAUAACGAGCGCAACCCUUAUCGAUAGUUACCAUCAGGUUAUGCUGGGGACUCUGUCGAGACUGCCGUCGUAAGAUGUGAGGAAGGUGGGGAUGACGUCAAAUCAGCACGGCCCUUACGUCCGGGGCUACACACGUGUUACAAUGGGGGGUACAGAAGGCAGCUACACGGCGACGUGAUGCUAAUCCCUAAAGCCUCUCUCAGUUCGGAUUGGAGUCUGCAACCCGACUCCAUGAAGCUGGAUUCGCUAGUAAUCGCGCAUCAGCCACGGCGCGGUGAAUACGUUCCC